CCUACGGUGUGCAGCAGUGAGGAAUCUUGGUCAAUGGGCGUAAGCCUGAACCAGCCAAGUCGCGUGAGGGAUGAAGGUUCUAUGGAUCGUAAACCUCUUUUAUAAGGGAAUAAAGUGCGGGACGUGUCCCGUUUUGUAUGUACCUUAUGAAUAAGGAUCGGCUAACUCCGUUCCAGCAGCCGCGGUACUACGGAGGAUCCGAGCGUUAUCCGGAUUUAUUGGGUUUAAAGUUUGAGUAGGCGGCCGUGUAAGUCAGCGGGGAAAGUCUGUGGAUCAACCAGAGAAUUGCCGGUGAAACUGGGAGGCUUGAGUAUGGUUGAGGCAGGAGGAAUGAGUGGUGUAGCGGGGAAAUGCUUAGAGAUCACGAAGAACCCGGAUUGCGAAGGCAGCCUGCCAAGCCAUGACUGACGCUGAUGCACGAAAGCGUGGGGAUCAAACAGGAUUAGAUACCCUUGUAGUC
rnacentral:rRNA from 1 species